GACAGAGGUGCCAAGCGUUAGGCGGAAUCACUGGGCUUAAAGCGCGUGUAGGCGGCCCGGAAAGUCGGAUGUGAAAGCCCUGGGCUUAACCUAGGAAGUGCAUUCGAAACUCCCGUGGCUUGAGUUCUGGAGAGGGAAGCGGAAUUCUCGGUGUAGAGGUGAAAUUCGUAGAUAUCGAGAGGAACACCGGUGGCGAAGGCGGCUUCCUGGACAGUGACUGACGCUGAGACGCGAAAGCGUGGGGAGCAAACAGG
rnacentral:rRNA from 1 species